rnacentral:snRNA from 1 species
AUUCCCAAAUUGAGAAUUC